rnacentral:rRNA from 1 species
CGCUCUUUGGAAAAAAUUUUAUAUAUAAAGAGUUCUGCCUGCCCGGUGAUAAGUUAAACGGCCGCGGUAUUUUGACCGUGCAAAGGUAGCAUAAUCAUUUGCCUCUUAAAUGGGGGCUGGUAUGAAUGGCAAGACGGGGAUUCAGCUGUCUCUUUCUUAUAUUUUUGAAAUUAAUAUUCUUGUGAAGAGGCGGGAAUAGGUUCGUGGGACGAGAAGACCCUAUUGAGCUUUAGUUUUACAUUUUUAGUAAAUAAAAGAGUUUUUGUUAAACUAAUAAGAAGACAAUAAAGAAAUGUCUAGCAAUAAAAUUAUUUUUAGAACUUUUUUACUUUUGAAGUAAUUUGGAUUGGGGCAAUCGUGGAGAAAAAAUAACCUCCAUUUUUAUAAUAUAAAAAUUAGACAUGUUUGAAUAAAUAGAUUUUAUAGAAAAUGAUCCGUCUAAUUAGGACGAUUAAAGGAAYAAGUUACCAYAGGGAUAACAGCGUAAUUUUUUUGGAGAGUUCAUAUUGAUAAAAAAGUUUGCGACCUCGAUGUUGGAUCGGGAUUUCCUAGAGAUGCAGCAGUUUCUGAGGGUUGGUCUGUUCGACCAUUAAAAUCCU